AGUCGAGCGGACAGAAGGGAGCUUGCUCCCGGAUGUUAGCGGCGGACGGGUGAGUAACACGUGGGUAACCUGCCUGUAAGACUGGGAUAACUCCGGGAAACCGGAGCUAAUACCGGAUAGUUCCUUGAACCGCAUGGUUCAAGGAUGAAAGACGGUUUCGGCUGUCACUUACAGAUGGACCCGCGGCGCAUUAGCUAGUUGGUGAGGUAACGGCUCACCAAGGCGACGAUGCGUAGCCGACCUGAGAGGGUGAUCGGCCACACUGGGACUGAGACACGGCCCAGACUCCUACGGGAGGCAGCAGUAGGGAAUCUUCCGCAAUGGACGAAAGUCUGACGGAGCAACGCCGCGUGAGUGAUGAAGGUUUUCGGAUCGUAAAGCUCUGUUGUUAGGGAAGAACAAGUGCAAGAGUAACUGCUUGCACCUUGACGGUACCUAACCAGAAAGCCACGGCUAACUACGUGCCAGCAGCCGCGGUAAUACGUAGGUGGCAAGCGUUGUCCGGAAUUAUUGGGCGUAAAGGGCUCGCAGGCGGUUUCUUAAGUCUGAUGUGAAAGCCCCCGGCUCAACCGGGGAGGGUCAUUGGAAACUGGGAAACUUGAGUGCAGAAGAGGAGAGUGGAAUUCCACGUGUAGCGGUGAAAUGCGUAGAGAUGUGGAGGAACACCAGUGGCGAAGGCGACUCUCUGGUCUGUAACUGACGCUGAGGAGCGAAAGCGUGGGGAGCGAACAGGAUUAGAUACCCUGGUAGUCCACGCCGUAAACGAUGAGUGCUAAGUGUUAGGGGGUUUCCGCCCCUUAGUGCUGCAGCUAACG
rnacentral:rRNA from 1 species